GCCGCCGUGGCGGAACGAAGACGCGCCGCGCCCAGGACGCGGUGCUCAUGCGAGCGUGGGGGUGCGAGUCCCUCCGGCGGCACCA
rnacentral:tRNA from 1 species